rnacentral:rRNA from 1 species
CUAUGUGUUGUUGGGUAGGGGAGCGUUCUGUAAGCCUGUGAAGGUGUACUGUGAGGUAUGCUGGAGGUAUCAGAAGUGCGAAUGCUGACAUAAGUAACGAUAAAGCGGGUGAAAAGCCCGCUCGCCGGAAGACCAAGGGUUCCUGUCCAACGUUAAUCGGGGCAGGGUGAGUCGACCCCUAAGGCGAGGCCGAAAGGCGUAGUCGAUGGGAAACAGGUUAAUAUUCCUGUACUUGGUGUUACUGCGAAGGGGGGACGGAGAAGGCUAUGUUGGCCGGGCGACGGUUGUCCCGGUUUAAGCGUGUAGGCUGGUUUUCCAGGCAAAUCCGGAAAAUCAAGGCUGAGGCGUGAUGACGAGGCACUACGGUGCUGAAGCAACAAAUGCCCUGCUUCCAGGAAAAGCCUCUAAGCAUCAGGUAACAUCAAAUCGUACCCCAAACCGACACAGGUGGUCAGGUAGAGAAUACCAAGGCGCUUGAGAGAACUCGGGUGAAGGAACUAGGCAAAAUGGUGCCGUAACUUCGGGAGAAGGCACGCUGAUAUGUAGGUGAAGCGACUUGCUCGUGGAGCUGAAAUCAGUCGAAGAUACCAGCUGGCUGCAACUGUUUAUUAAAAACACAGCACUGUGCAAACACGAAAGUGGACGUAUACGGUGUGACGCCUGCCCGGUGCCGGAAGGUUAAUUGAUGGGGUCAGCGCAAGCGAAGCUC